rnacentral:rRNA from 1 species
GACAGAGGGUGCAAACGUUUGUUCGGAAAUUACUGGGCGUAAAGCGCACGUAGGCGGCUUUGUAAAGUUAGAGGUGAAAAGCCUGGGGGCUCAACCCCAGAAAUUGCCUUUAAGACUGCAUCGCUUGAAUCCAGGAGAGGUGAGUGGAAAUUCCGAGUGUAGAGGGUGAAAAUUCGUAGAUAUUGGGAAGAAACACCAGUGGCGG